rnacentral:rRNA from 1 species
GACGAACGCUGGCGGCGUGCUUAACACAUGCAAGUCGAACGGAAAGGCCUGCUUUCCCUUGUGGAUUGCGGGUACUCGAGUGGCGAACGGGUGAGUAACACGUGAGUGAUCUGCCCCCAACUUGGGGAUAAGCCUGGGAAACUGGGUCUAAUUCCCGAUAGGACUGCAGGGUGGUGCCUGUGGUGGAAAACGAUUUUCUAGUGGUUGGGGAUGAGCUCGCGCCUAGCAGCUUGUUGGUGGGGUAAUGGCCUACCAAGGCGGCGACGGGUAGCCGGCCUGAGAGGGUGGACGGCCACAUUGGGACUGAGAUACGGCCCAGACUCCUACGGGAGGCAGCAGUGGGGAAUAUUGCACAAGGGGCGGAAGCCUGAUGCAGCGACGCCGCGUGGGGGAUGACGGCCUUCGGGUUGUAAACUCCUUUCGACCGCGAGGAAGCCACCUGGUUGGAAGGGUGGUGACGGUAGUGGUAGAAGAAGCACCGGCUAACUACGUG